UACAGAGGCCCCAAGCGUUACUGAGAAUCACUGGGUUUAAAGGGUGCGUAGGUGGCGCGUUAAGUCCGUUGUGAAAUCCCUUGGCUCAACCAAGGAACUGCUUCGGAUACUGGCGUGCUUGAGGCUAGUAGGGGUCACUGGAACUGACGGUGGAGCGGUGAAAUGCGUAGAUAUCGUCAGGAACGCCGAUGGUGAAGACAGGUGACUGGGCUAGUUCUGACGCUGAGGCGCGAAAGCGUGGGGAGCAAACAGG
rnacentral:rRNA from 1 species